AAAAAGGAGACCAUGAGAUAAAGUAAGAAUUACGUUAAAAAUGAUAAUGUGAAAGGAUAUAUUCUAAUAAAACACAACUUAUAGCCUAAAAUUAAAGGAACACUAUAGGGUCAGGAACGCAAACAUGUAUUCCUGAUUCUUUAGUGUUAAAUCCAUCAUUUAGGUGGCUUGUAUAUUAAAAGGUAAUAUAACUUAUCUUAUUUCCAGCGCCGCACGGGUCUGCCGGAGGUGGCCGUGCCCCGUUCCGUCUCCUUGCUGACAUCAUCAGAAGGUAUGAUUUCAGCCAAUACCAAGAUUUCCUAUAGGAUGAAAUCGGCAAGAGGUGGGACUGGAGUUUCCAAACCCCAGCUUGGCCAAUCAGCACUUCCUCAUAGAGAUUCAUUGAAUCAAUGCAACUCUCUGAGUAAAGUUUAGUGUCCUCAUGCAUAGGGUGGAUACACUGAAUGGCAGUGAUGCACACUGUGCAGCACUUCCCCAGGAAGCACCUUCAGUGGCAUUCUGAGGAGUAGCCACUGGAGGUGUCCCUAGGGGGCAAUGUUAUCACUUUUUCUCUGAAAAGGUAGUGUGUAUUUGAAAAUGCCUACAGGGAUAGUCUAUACUCACCAGAACAACUACAUUAAGCUGUAAUUGUUCUGGUGACUAUAAUGUCAAGAAAACCAAAAAAGGAAUACAUAAUACUGGCACUAUUAUCGGUACAUCGAACUGCGGGACAUGGGAACACACCCAUAGGAUAACCUAGCCUAACCUUAAGACCAAAGCACCUACGCUUC